AUUGCUCUGGACAGCGGUCACGGUGUGUUCUCUGAGCCACAGAAGGAAGGUCACCCGUGAACCUCAGUGAUUUAUGCUCUGCCGUGGUAGUGAUGUGAGGGACAGCACAGACGUUCACGACACAUCUGUUUUGCGCCAGGUGAGGACACAGCAGGAAGACACCAGCCGUGAACCUGGAAGGGGCUCUCACCAGACACUGAAUCUGCCAGCACCUUGAUCUUGGACUUCCAGCCUCCAGAACUGAUGAAUUCAGUGUCAAGAGGACCCAGCUGCAGAGGACCUGCUGGCAUCCUGG